rnacentral:ncRNA from 1 species
CCUUGUUGCCUGGGAAGGGCAAAGCCAGAGGAAUCUCUGGUGGAGGUCCGUCGUGGUCCUCAUGUGCAAAUCGGUCAUCCAACCUGGGUAUAGAGGUGAAAGACUAAUUGAACCAUGUAGUAG